ACCAACACGGAGAACAGCAUAUGCACGGAAAUAUGGAAUGAUAUUUCAUCGGGAGUUCCGCCAAAGACGGAUAUCUGCAUAGAAGGUAUCCAUGUUGUGUUGCGCUGAAUAGAAGAUGUCCUGUUGGAGACUUCUGCAGCUGUGCUGUGAGGAUUAAAAAA